rnacentral:rRNA from 1 species
ACCUGGUCCCAUACCGAACCCAGAAGUUAAGCCCGCCAGCGCCGAUGGUACUCGGCUGGAGACGGCCCGGGAGAGUAGGCCAUUGCCAAGG